rnacentral:rRNA from 1 species
ACGAACGCUGGCGGCGUGCCUAAUACAUGCAAGUCGAACGAGCUCUCCCAAAUUGAUUUUAUGCUUGCAUAAAUGAUUUUUGGAUUCGGAGCGAGUGGCGAACUGGUGAGUAACACGUGGGUAACCUGCCCCGAAGCGGGGGAUAACAUUUGGAAACAAGUGCUAAUACCGCAUAAUUAGUUGGAACCGCAUGGUUCCAACUUGAAAGAUGGCUCUGCUAUCACUUUGGGAUGGACCCGCGCCGUAUUAGUUAGUUGGUGAGAUAAAAGCCCACCAAGACGAUGAUACGUAGCCGACCUGAGAGGGUAAUCGGCCACAUUGGGACUGAGACACGGCCCAGACUCCUACGGGAGGCAGCAGUAGGGAAUCUUCCACAAUGGACGAAAGUCUGAUGGAGCAACGCCGCGUGAGUGAUGAAGGUUUUCGGAUCGUAAAACUCUGUUGUUAAAGAAGAACAAGUGUUAGAGUAACUGUUAACACUUUGACGGUAUUUAACCAGAAAGCCACGGCUAACUACGUGCCAGCAGCCGCGGUAAUACGUAGGUGGCAAGCGUUGUCCGGAUUUAUUGGGCGUAAAGCGAGCGCAGGCGGUUUUGUAAGUCUGCUGUGAAAGCCCUCAGCUCAACUGAGGAAGUGCAGUGGAAACUACAAAACUUGAGUACAGAAGAGGAAAGUGGAACUCCCAUGUGUAGCGGUGAAAUGCGUAGAUAUAUGGAAGAACACCAGUGGCGAAGGCGGCUUUCUGGUCUGUUACUGACGCUGAGGCUCGAAAGCAUGGGUAGCGAACAGGAUUAGAUACCCUGGUAGUCCAUGCCGUAAACGAUGAAUACUAGGUGUUGGAGGGUUUCCGCCCUUCAGUGCCGCAGCUAACGCAUUAAGUAUUCCGCCUGGGGAGUACGACCGCAAGGUUGAAACUCAAAGGAAUUGACGGGGGCCCGCACAAGUGGUGGAGCAUGUGGUUUAAUUCGAUGCUACGCGAAGAACCUUACCAGCUCUUGACAUCUUCUGCCAACCCAAGAGAUUGGGCGUUCCCUUCGGGGACAGAAUGACAGGUGGUGCAUGGUUGUCGUCAGCUCGUGUCGUGAGAUGUUGGGUUAAGUCCCGCAACGAGCGCAACCCUUAUUAUUAGUUGCCAGCAUUUAGUUGGGCACUCUAGUGAGACUGCCGGUGAUAAACCGGAGGAAGGUGGGGACGACGUCAAAUCAUCAUGCCCCUUAUGAGCUGGGCUACACACGUGCUACAAUGGAUGGUACAACGAGUCGCGAAACCGCGAGGUCAAGCUAAUCUCUUAAAGCCAUUCUCAGUUCGGAUUGCAGGCUGCAACUCGCCUGCAUGAAGUUGGAAUCACUAGUAAUCGUGGACCAGCAUGCCACGGUGAAUACGUUCCCGGGCCUUGUACACACC